CCAUAUGGACGGUUCACCUUCUUCAGACUCCACUGACUCAGGAGGCAAAGAUGCAGUUCCAGGCUCAUGGUGUCCUGCAGCAGAUGUGGGGAUUUUUUCUUCUUUGUGUUUCCCUGAAGAUGGGAGGUACUGCAGGACAAAGCAUUGAGCAGCCCACCGAGUUAACAGCUAUGGAAGGAGCUGUUGUCCAGGUCAAUUGCACAUACAAGACAUCUGGGUUCAAUGGACUGUCCUGGUAUCAGCAACACGAUGGCAGAGCACCCAUAUUUCUCUUUUAUAUUGUUUUAGAUGGUUUGGUGGAAAGAGGUCGUUUUUCUUCAUUCCUUAGUCGCUCUGAUGGAUACAGUUACCUCCUUCUGAAGGAGCUGCAGAUGAAAGACUCUGCCUCUUACUUCUGUGCUGUGAGAGACACGGUGACUAUGGGGCCUCUUCAGCUGCACCAGAAUUCAAAGGCAACCAAAGCAGUGAGAAAUUACAUUUCCUGA